AUGAUAAAGCGGGAGAUAGUGUGGGGGAUAAUGCGAGUGGUAAACUUAGUGAUAAUGCGAAUGGUAAACUUAGUGAUAAUGCGANNNNNNNNNNAUAAUGCGAAUGGUAAACUUAGUGAUAAUGCGAAUGGUAAACUUAGUAAAAAUGUAAGUGGUAAACUUAGUGAUAAUGCAAGUGUGGACGAUAAAAAACAGCAAGAUACUGUAAGUGACUCAGACGAUAUAAAUAGUUCAGGUGAUAAAACAGUAGCAACAACAGUAACAGACAAAACAACCGAGUUUAAUGAACUUGAAGAUUCACAAACAAAAGAACAAAAAAUUAAUUAUUCUUCAGAUAUAAAAGAAAAAACAGAAGAAGUUGAACAAGAACUUUCAAUUGAUAUACACAAUCAGUUAUUACCUUAUUUGAUGAUGAAACAAAAUGAAAAAAGUAAGGAAAUAACCCAUGGAGAAAAGACUGAAGAACAAGGCUCAAUUUUUAAAGGAAUUGUAUGGGACUUGGAAGAUGAAGAAUUUUUACAUUCUAAUUCACCAAUUAAAGAUUCGCAAUUUUUGGAAUACCAGUGGUCAUAUUUAGAUGAAAAGAAAUGGGUAAACUUUGCUAACAACGUGAACAAAAUUAUAAAUUAUUAUUUCAACAUAACAGAUGAUUUUUUUACAUAUAAAGAAAAAAGUAUAGGUAAAAAAAAA
rnacentral:lncRNA from 1 species